GAUUGGCGGGGGCGCGGGCGGGCGGCACGUCUCGCUCCCCGUUACCCAGCGGUGCUUUGCGCUGGGCCGCAGCUAGGCCGCGCUGCGGGCGGGAUGGCGGUGGCGGUGCGCGCGCUGCAGGAGCAGCUGGAGAAGGCCAAGGAAAGCCUCAAGCACGUGGACGAGAACAUCCGCAAGCUCACGGGCCGGGACCCCAACGAUGUCAGGCCCCCUCAAAGCAGGCUGUUACCCAUCGCAGGCCCUGGUGGAGGUAGAGGCCGCGGUAGUUUACUGCUGAGGCGUGGAUUCUCGGAUAGCGGAGGAGGACCCCCAGCCAAACAGAGGGAUCUUGAAGGGGCAACCAGUAGGCUGGGUGGAGAACGUCGGACAAGAAGAGAAUCACGCCAUGAAAGCGACGCAGAGGAUGAAGAUGUUAAAAAGCCGGCGUUGCAGUCUUCCGUUGUUGCUACCUCCAAAGAGCGAACACGUCGAGACCUUAUUCAGGAUCAAAAUAUGGAUGAGAAGGGAAAACAAAGGAAUCGACGUAUAUUUGGCUUGUUGAUGGGUACUUUGCAGAAAUUUAAACAAGAGUCCACAGUUGCUACUGAAAGGCAAAAGAGGCGUCAAGAAAUUGAGCAAAAGCUUGAAGUGCAGGCGGAGGAGGAGAGAAAGCAAGUUGAAAAUGAGAGGCGAGAAUUGUUUGAAGAAAGACGUGCUAAACAGACAGAAUUGCGGCUAUUGGAACAAAAGGUCGAACUUGCUCAGUUGCAAGAAGAAUGGAAUGAACAUAAUGCCAAAAUAAUUAAAUAUAUACGAACCAGGACAAGGCCCCAUCUGUUCUACAUACCUGGCCGGAUGUGUGCCGCUACACAAAAGCUAAUGGAAGAGUCGCAGAAAAAGUUGAAUGCACUGUUUGAAAAUAGACGCAAUGAAUUUGCAGAGCAAAUUAACAAAAUGGAGGCCAGACCCAGAAGACAAUCUGUGAAGGAAAAAGAACAGCAGGAGGUGCAGAAUGAAGAAAAGAAGGAAGAACAGAACAAGGAGCAGGAAGAGGGUAAGGUGGCUCAGCAGGUGGAAGAGUUGGAGACAGGUAACCAGAACAAUGAUGUAGAAAUGGAGGAGGUAGGGGAGGACAGAGGAAAAGCAGGUGCAGGUUAUAGUGAUGCAGAGAGAGAGCAGGAGGAGGAGGAACAGAAACAUGAAAUGCAGGUUAAAGCAGAAGAGGCAACUGAGGUGUUAGAGAAUGACAGGCAGCAGGAUAGUCAGCAGGAAGAGGUUCUGAUCGUGAAAAUGGAAGGUGACAGGAUUCAGUCAGUGGAUAAUGAGCAAGACAUGGUGGAAGUUAAUGAGGCAGAUAGUGUAGAACAUUUAGAAAAUGAAAAUGGCAAAGUUGACCUAGAAAUUGAGUGUGAUGCUCAGCCAGAGAAAGUGUGUGACACUCCUUCCCCUGAGAAGGAGAAAGCUAACAAACCAGAAACUGACGCUGAACCUGAAGAGAAAUGGGGAAAGGAAUCUGAAGCCCACCCUGAGACUGAGGUUCAUCCUCAGCCAGAGGCUGUGCCACUGCCACAGCCACCUCCAUUGUCUCAGUCCAUUCAGGAUCAAGAGCCUCAGACGGAAAAGGAUGAAGCCACUGUGGUGUCUGUAAAGGUGGUUGAGGCACAGACAGAUCAAAUUCAGGCAACAGGUAUAGAAAUUAAAAGUAAGACCAGGAGUAGAAGCAGGGGUAGGACACGGAACAAAUCUAGCAAGAGUCGAAGUCGUAGUAGCAGUAGUAGUACUAGCAGUAGUAGUUCAACCAGCAGUAGUAGUGGAAGUAGCUCUAGCAGUGGCAGCAGUAGUAGUCGCAGUAGUUCUAGCAGUAGUAGUAGCACUACUGGGAGUAGCAGCAGAGACAGUAGCAGCAGUAGUAGUAGCAGCAGUGAGAGCAGAAGUCGAAGCAGAGGAAGGGGUCAUAAUAGGGACAGAAAGCGCAGGAGGAGCGUGGAUAGGAAGCGAAGGGAUACUUCAGGACAAGAUAGAAGUCACAAGUCUUCAAAAGGUAGUAGCAGAGAUGCAAAAGGCUCAAAGGAUAAAAGUUCAAGGUCUGACAGAAAGAGGUCUAUAUCAGAAAGUAGUCGGUCAGGCAAAAGAACUUCGCGGAGUGAAAGAGACCGUAAAUCAGACAGGAAAGACAAAAGGCGUUAACAGAAGAGACCAGGCUUCCCUAGCCUAAUCUUUGCAGCAGAAGAUUAUUUGAGUAAAAGGAUUCCUUAUGAGGAGGAGGAGAAGGCUGCCUUAACAAUUGCAUGCUGUAAAAAAUCUUUUGGAAAAAUGCAGACUGUUUACCAGACACUCUUGUACUUUUUACAUAAUUUUGUAAAGGGUAACUUAUCAAAAUUAUGUGAAGUCCCCUCUUCCCAAAAUGUAAGAAAAAUAAAACAAUUAACCCCCCUUUGCAUUUUUUAAAUACCCUGUACUCAUUAAGAUUCUCUGUAUAUUUUAAUAGGUAAAUCUUUUAAGUUGGUGUGAUCACUUCUACUUCUGUACCAUACAUUUUUUUUUUUGUAGAAAUAAAUGUGCAUUUUAAAUAAAAUGUUUGAGAUGUCGUGUUGACACUUAACUUCCCUUUAGCUCUACAUAUUGGCAGCUGCUUACAAAGAUGCUGCCUUUUGUAAUUUUCUUCCUGCUCCUUUUUUUUCCCCUCUACCAUUUGUAGGGGUAUGAAUUAUUUGGUAUAGUUCCUUUUGCUUUCUUCUCUACACCAACUCAUUCUAGCUUGACUUUUUUUCUCAUUUUACAAACCUGUUUUUGUGACCUCUGCGUUGAGCAGUAGUUACCUCAAAAUGCUAAUAUUGACAGCUUAUGUCAGAAUCUGGAAUGCUACUCUUAUCUGCCUUCUGCAGGUGCUUGGGUAAUGUUUACAGCUAUGUUCUGGAGACAGUAUAUCUGUUUAGUGAUGUUCCUUACUUUCCUGGCCAGUGGUGGGAAGACCUCCGCUCACUUCUCAACUGGGAGUUUUUUGUUAUAUUAGCCACAAAUUAAUUUUUGAUCCUGGUGUGCAACUAGGUAUAAUUAUACUGCAGUGUUAUCUGGGACUAAUACCAGUCUUGUGUGUGUGCAAGAAUGCUUUUUGAAUGUAUUUGAUAGAGAGGUGUGAAAGUUCCAAAUAAAGCAGUAUGGUGUAUCAAGGUCAUGAUUGUUUUAUAAUUUUGUAUGGAAAUAACAACAUACCUUUUGGCUUGUUCUGUACAUGUGCAAAUAAAUGUGGCUUUGUAGACUA